CAGCAGCCGCCGCGGGAACACGUAGGUGGCAAGCGUUGUCCGGAAUUAUUGGGCGUAAAGGGCUCGCAGGCGGUUUCUUAAGUCUGAUGUGAGAGCCCCCGGCUCAACCGGGGAGGGUCAUUGGAAACUGGGAAACUUGAGUGCAGAAGAGGAGAGUGGAAUUCCACGUGUAGCGGUGAAAUGCGUAGAGAUGUGGAGGAACACCAGUGGCGAAGGCGACUCUCUGGUCUGUAACUGACGCUGAGGAGCGAAAGCGUGGGGAGCGAACAGGAUUAGAUACCCCUGUAGUCCCUGUCUCUUAUAC
rnacentral:rRNA from 1 species